AUUGAACGCUGGCGGCAGGCCUAACACAUGCAAGUCGAACGAGUGGCGGACGGGUGAGUAAUGUCUGGGAAACUGCCUGAUGGAGGGGGAUAACUACUGGAAACGGUAGCUAAUACCGCAUACCAUCGGAUGUGCCCAGAUGGGAUUAGCUAGUUGGUGGGGUAACGGCGCACCAAGGCGACGAUCCCUAGCUGGUCUGAGAGGCUGACCCGCCACACCGGGACUGAGACACGGUCCAGACUCCUACGGGAGGCAGGAGGGGGGAAUAUGUCACAAAGGGCGCAAGCCUGAUGCAGCCAUGGCGCGUGGAAUAAGAAGGCCUUCGGGUUGUAAAGUACUUUCAGCGGGGAGGCGUUACCCCCAGAAGAAGCACCGGCUAACUCCGUGCCAGCAGCCGCGGUAAUAC
rnacentral:rRNA from 1 species